AUUGAACGCUGGCGGCAGGCCUAACACAUGCAAGUCGAGCGGAUGAAGGGAGCUUGCUCCUGGAUUCAGCGGCGGACGGGUGAGUAAUGCCUAGGAAUCUGCCUGGUAGUGGGGGAUAACGUCCGGAAACGGGCGCUAAUACCGCAUACGUCCUGAGGGAGAAAGUGGGGGAUCUUCGGACCUCACGCUAUCAGAUGAGCCUAGGUCGGAUUAGCUAGUUGGUGGGGUAAAGGCCUACCAAGGCGACGAUCCGUAACUGGUCUGAGAGGAUGAUCAGUCACACUGGAACUGAGACACGGUCCAGACUCCUACGGGAGGCAGCAGUGGGGAAUAUUGGACAAUGGGCGAAAGCCUGAUCCAGCCAUGCCGCGUGUGUGAAGAAGGUCUUCGGAUUGUAAAGCACUUUAAGUUGGGAGGAAGGGCAGGAAGUUAAUACCUUGCUGUUUUGACGUUACCAACAGAAUAAGCACCGGCUAACUUCGUG
rnacentral:rRNA from 1 species